GACGAACGCUGGCGGCGUGCCUAAUACAUGCAAGUCGAACGAGAGCGACCGGUGCUUGCACUGGUCAAUCUAGUGGCGAACGGGUGAGUAACACGUGGGUAACCUGCCCAUCAGAGGGGGAUAACAUCUGGAAACGGAUGCUAAAACCGCAUAGGUCUUCGAACCGCAUGGUUUGAAGAGGAAAAGAGGCGCAAGCUUCUGCUGAUGGAUGGACCCGCGGUGCAUUAGCUAGUUGGUGAGGUAACGGCUCACCAAGGCCGUGAUGCAUAGCCGACCUGAGAGGGUGAUCGGCCACAUUGGGACUGAGACACGGCCCAAACUCCUACGGGAGGCAGCAGUAGGGAAUCUUCCGCAAUGGACGCAAGUCUGACGGAGCAACGCCGCGUGAGUGAAGAAGGUUUUCGGAUCGUAAAACUCUGUUGUUAGAGAAGAACAAGUGCUAGAGUAACUGUUAGCGCCUUGACGGUAGCUAACCAGAAAGCCACGGCUAACUACGUG
rnacentral:rRNA from 1 species